CACAGCACAAAUUAUGGCCUGGGCAGCUGUUCUGUGUGCAGAUUAAGGCCAGGCAGACCCAGAGAGUCACUGCCAGCCAGGAUAGGCCGUCCUGAGGCCUGACUCUGAUCCCAACGUUCCUCCUCGCUCCUGUAAUCCAAAACAAGAAGCGGAAAACAGGUGGUUUAAGAAUGUUUUGACUCGGGUAGUGGACCCCCAAGCUCAGUCACUGCUGUGGGCAAAUGCUCUUUCACCUAGCCUUCUCUUGUCAGCUGGGCCAGAGGCCUGUGGUACUCCCUGCUACAAGAUGCGCCGGGGUGGGGGGAAGCAAUUUCUGCCCAGUGACCUUCUUGGUCCAGAAAAUCUUAAGUCCUGAAGUACAUUGCAAAAGCUGCAGCCUGCACCCUACGCAGGAAUUCUCAGGAACAUUUUAUUCUUGCUAGUUGUGCUGGGGAAGAGAUAAGAUAUUUCAUUGCUCCAACUGUAGCAGAACGAGACUGAGGAUCUACCCUCCUCGGUUUGCCCUGAGAGAAGCCAGAAGUUUAUCGCCAGAAUCGUGUUCAGCUGUGGGCUAUGUCGCCCAAAAUAUCCAGAGGGCACCAGACUGGGGAAGGCUGCUUCAUAGUUUCAUUUCGCCCAUCCUUUGUCAUCCACAAGCAUGCUGAUACCAGCCUCAUGCCUGGAGAUUUCUGUCGCAGUGCCCAGGUCAGCAAUGCAGCCGCAAAAAAAAAUGGCUAUGGGUUAGCGAGAGAAGCAGGCAGAGGGCCUUCUCGGUGGUGGCGCCCGCCCUGUGGAACACCCUCCCAUCAGAUGUCAAGGAAAUAAACAACUAUCUGACUUUUAGAAGACAUCUGAAGGCAGCCCUGUUUAGGAAAGUUUUGAAUGUUUGAAGUUUUACUCUGUUUUUAAUGUUCUGUUGGGAGCCACCCAGAGUAGCUGGGGAAACCCAGCCAGAUGGGUGGGGCAGAAAUGAUAACAUUAUUAUUAUUAUUAUUAUUAUUAUUAUUAUUACAAAGUGACUCUUCACGACUGAUGCUUUUCUCAUUGUUAAUAUAGGACUCCUUCAGGGGAAACCCAGAGGGAUUAUUAUAUAAUAAUAAUAAUAAUAAUAAUAAUAAUAAUAAGACAUAUGUACCCAUACAUAGGGAUGCGGGUGGCACUGUGGGUUAAACCACAGAGCCUAGGGUUUGCCAAUCAGAAGGUCGGCGGUUCGAAUCCCCACGACGGGGUGAGCUCCCGUUGCUCGGUCCCUGCUCCUGCCCACCUAGCAGUUUGAAAGCACGUCAAAGUGCCAGUAGAUAAAGAGGUACCGCUCCGGCGGGAAGGUAAAAGGCGUUUUCGUACACUACUCUGGUUCGCCAGAAGCGGCUUAGUCAUGCUGGCCACAUGACCCAGAAGCUGUACGCCGGCUCCCUUGACCAAUGAAGCGAGAUGAGCGCCGCAACCCCAGAGUCGGCCACGACUGGACCUAAUGGUCAGGGGUCCCUUUACCUUUAAGCCAUGCAUACCCGCUCCACAGGUGCCAAUUCAUGACAUGUCUGUGCCCCCCAGUGGAAAACCCACAGGACAUGUAUGCAUGAGUGUACCAGGAUAUUGGGGGGGGGGCAGCCAAAGUUGUUGAGCCCAUAAAUAUCUAGGGGGACCACAGAACCGAAGAUAAUUGAGUACUUCCAAUGCUUUUCAAUAUUUGCAGAUAUAGGGGGGGGAACUGCCUCCCACCCCCGCAUGCAUGCAAACUCCCUUGCAAACAGUCACUGGGGGUUGCAUAGCAGAACGAGCUUCUCCCCUCGCUAAUGGCACCCACACUCAAGAUCCCCUUGUCUUAGCAAAACGCAGAGGGGUGUGUCCCCCCAGAAAAGCCCCCACACUUCACUCCACUUGCUUUGGCGCACAGAGUUUGUCACAGUCUCGCUUUUCAUUGGCAAGAGGGGUGUUGUUGUCGUUUAGUAGUGUCCGCCUCUUCGUGACCCCCUGGACCAGAGCACUCCAGGCACUCCUGCCUUCCACUGCCCCCCGCAGUUUGGUCAAACUCAUGCUGGUAUCUUCGAGAACACUGUCCCACCAUCUUGUCCUCUGUCAUCCCCUUCUCCUUGUGCCCUCCAUCUUUCCCAACAUCAGGGUCUUUUCCAGGGAGUCUUCUCUUCUCAUGAGGUGGCCAAAGUCUUGGAGCCUCAGCUUCAGGAUCUGUCCUUCCAGUGAGCACUCAGGGCUGAUUUCCUCCAGAAUGGAGAGGUUGGAUCUUCUUGCAGUCCAUGGGACUCUCCAGAGUCUCCUCCAGCACCAGAAUUCAAAAGCAUCCAUUCUUGGGCGAUCAGCCUUCUUUAUGGUCCAGUUCUCACUUCCAUACAUCACUACUGGGAAAACCAGAGCUUUAACUAUACGGACCUUUGUUGGCAAGGUGAUGUCUUUGCUUUUUAAGAUGCUGUCUAGAUUUGUCAUUGCUUUUCUCCCCCGAAGCAGGCGUCUUUUAAUUUCGUGGCUGCUGUCACCAUCUGCAGUGAUCAUGGAGCCCAAGAAAGUAAAAUCUCUCACUGCCUCCAGUGGGACCAGUGGCCAUGAUCUUCGUUUUUUUUUUUAUGUUGAGCUUCAGACCAUAUUUUGGGCUCUCCUCUUUCACCCUCAUUAAAAGGUUCUUUAAUUCCUCCUCACUUUCUGCCAUCAAGGUUGUGUCAUCUGCAUAUCUGAGGUUGUUUAUAUUUCUUCCAGCAAUCUUAAUACCAGCUUGGGAUUCAUCCAGCCCAGCCUUUCGCAUGAUGAAUUCUGCAUAUAAGUUAAGUAAGCAGGGAGACAAUAUAUAGCCUGGUCGUACUCUUUUCCCAAUUUUGAACCAAUCGUUUAAGGCCAUACAGCUUUAACUAUACGGACCUUUGUUGGCAAGGUGAUGUCUCUGCUUUUUAAGAUGCUGUCUAGGUUUGUCAUCGCUUUUCUCCCAAGAAGCAGGCGUCUUUUAAUUUCGUGGCUGCUGUCACCAUCUGCAGUGAUCGUGGAGCCCAAGAAAGGAGGCCAAUGGUUUCCUCCCCACCCCCCUUUCCUCCUCUCCCUGUCAGCUCACUGAAAAGAAAAGAAAAAGGGUUACAGGCAAGUCCUUAAUGAAAGCCAUUCAUUCGGUCUGGCUCGGAGGAGACCGGGUGCCUCUGCCAACAUCUCUCUCCCCCCCCCCCCCCCCAUGACAUGCUAAGUGAUUUAGGGGUGGGAUGCCCAUCCCUCGAAGGGCAGCCCCAAAUUACCAGGGGCUAUUUAUUGUGCCACUCCUGGCUUUAACUCGGCCAGAUUUUUAAAAAGCUACGCGUUCAGUGAAAAAGGACCCUCUCUUUCCUUGCUUGCCCCCCCCCCCAAUGCCCCUUUAUUUGAAAGAGCUGCCCUUAUUUCAUGGAAUUACAGCUCUAGUCCGGUCUGCUACAAUGCAAUAUUCUGGAUUCCAAUCUGAUUUUUCACCAAAAAAAAAAAGAGAGAAAAAUCAAUGCAUCAUUUUAAAGAUGCUGUCUAGGUUUGUCAUUGCUUUUCUCCCAAGUCUUUUAAUUUCGUGGCCAGGAAAAGGCCAAAAUAUGGAGCUGUGCAGAUGCUAAUUUCUAAGGACAGAUGCACAUUUAGGAAGAAAAGGCUGCUCUUUAAUUAAAAGCGCAAAAUGCAUCUCGGCCUCAUUGGGGGCUUAAUGCAUUUUGGACCUGCAGAGUUUGCUGCCAACUAUGGAUGGGCAACUUGGAAGGUGAGGCAAGGUGAUGUUUGGCGGCUGGAGUGGCAGGCUAGGACCCUGGAGAGACCCGAGUUCAAAUUCUGCAACAUACUUGGCCAUAGAACUCAUUCCAUGACCUUGGGGGGCCAACUCACUCCUCCUCCCAGCCGAACCGACCUCGCAGGGCUGUCGUUAGGCUAAAUGGAGAGGAAGGGAGGAAUAUAUGCACUUUAUGAGCUGGGUAAAUGCAAAAUAAUAGCAACCACUGAGAAAAAAUAUAAUUUUCCUUCGCUCCAGGGAGGGGGGGGGGGGGGAAAUGCUUCCCACAGCUCCAUUUAACGUAUAACGUAUCUAAAUGCACGGUCAAAAACUCUGACCCAAAAGGCAACCAAAGUUUUUAAAGUUUUUAUUUAUUUAUUUAUUUCUCAUCUUUACAGUAAAUCUGAUACAGGCAAUUAAAUAAUUCUGCAAAUAAAAACAAAGAUAAAAACAAAAGAGUUAAAAAGCCAAAGAAUUUUUAAGUUAUGUCUUCCAUUCAUACACG